AAAUUGAAGAGUUUGAUCAUGGCUCAGAUUGAACGCUGGCGGCAGGCCUAACACAUGCAAGUCGAACGGUAACAGGAAGCAGCUUGCUGCUUUGCUGACGAGUGGCGGACGGGUGAGUAAUGUCUGGGAAACUGCCUGAUGGAGGGGGAUAACUACUGGAAACGGUGGCUAAUACCGCAUAACGUCGCAAGACCAAAGAGGGGGACCUUCGGGCCUCUUGCCAUCAGAUGUGCCCAGAUGGGAUUAGCUUGUUGGUGAGGUAACGGCUCACCAAGGCGACGAUCCCUAGCUGGUCUGAGAGGAUGACCAGCCACACUGGAACUGAGACACGGUCCAGACUCCUACGGGAGGCAGCAGUGGGGAAUAUUGCACAAUGGGCGCAAGCCUGAUGCAGCCAUGCCGCGUGUAUGAAGAAGGCCUUCGGGUUGUAAAGUACUUUCAGCGGGGAGGAAGGUGUUGUGGUUAAUAACCGCAGCAAUUGACGUUACCCGCAGAAGAAGCACCGGCUAACUCCGUGCCAGCAGCCGCGGUAAUACGGAGGGUGCAAGCGUUAAUCGGAAUUACUGGGCGUAAAGCGCACGCAGGCGGUCUGUCAAGUCGGAUGUGAAAUCCCCGGGCUCAACCUGGGAACUGCAUUCGAAACUGGCAGGCUUGAGUCUUGUAGAGGGGGGUAGAAUUCCAGGUGUAGCGGUGAAAUGCGUAGAGAUCUGGAGGAAUACCGGUGGCGAAGGCGGCCCCCUGGACAAAGACUGACGCUCAGGUGCGAAAGCGUGGGGAGCAAACAGGAUUAGAUACCCUGGUAGUCCACGCCGUAAACGAUGUCUACUUGGAGGUUGUGCCCUUGAGGCGUGGCUUCCGGAGCUAACGCGUUAAGUAGACCGCCUGGGGAGUACGGCCGCAAGGUUAAAACUCAAAUGAAUUGACGGGGGCCCGCACAAGCGGUGGAGCAUGUGGUUUAAUUCGAUGCAACGCGAAGAACCUUACCUGGUCUUGACAUCCACGGAACUUUCCAGAGAUGGAUUGGUGCCUUCGGGAACCGUGAGACAGGUGCUGCAUGGCUGUCGUCAGCUCGUGUUGUGAAAUGUUGGGUUAAGUCCCGCAACGAGCGCAACCCUUAUCCUUUGUUGCCAGCGGUCCGGCCGGGAACUCAAAGGAGACUGCCAGUGAUAAACUGGAGGAAGGUGGGGAUGACGUCAAGUCAUCAUGGCCCUUACGACCAGGGCUACACACGUGCUACAAUGGCGCAUACAAAGAGAAGCGACCUCGCGAGAGCAAGCGGACCUCAUAAAGUGCGUCGUAGUCCGGAUUGGAGUCUGCAACUCGACUCCAUGAAGUCGGAAUCGCUAGUAAUCGUGGAUCAGAAUGCCACGGUGAAUACGUUCCCGGGCCUUGUACACACCGCCCGUCACACCAUGGGAGUGGGUUGCAAAAGAAGUAGGUAGCUUAACCUUCGGGAGGGCGCUUACCACUUUGUGAUUCAUGACUGGGGUGAAGUCGUAACAAGGUAACCGUAGGGGAACCUGCGGUUGGAUCACCUCCUUACCUGAAAGAA
rnacentral:rRNA from 1 species